UGGGGAAUAUUGGACAAUGGGGGAAACCCUGAUCCAGCAACGCCGCGUGAGCGAUGAAGGCCUUCGGGUCGUAAAGCUCUGUCAGAUGGAACGAAAGAAGCUUACCUAACACGUAAGCUGUUGACGGUACUAUCAAAGGAAGCACCGGCUAACUCUGUGCCAGCAGCCGCGGUAAGACAGAGGGUGCAAGCGUUGUUCGGAAUUACUGGGCGUAAAGCGCGCGUAGGUGGCUUUGUGUGUCUGGUGUGAAAUCCCUUGGCUCAACCAAGGAAGUGCGCCAGAAACUGCAAUGCUCGAGUUCGGGAGAGGAUGGUAGAAUUCUCAGUGUAGAGGUGAAAUUCGUAGAUACUGGGAGGAACACCGGUGGCGAAGGCGACCAUCUGGACCGAUACUGACACUGAUGUGCGAAAGCGUGGGUAGCAAACAG
rnacentral:rRNA from 1 species